AAAGGCAAAGACCGCGAGGCAGAGCAAAUCCCCAAAACGGACGUCUCAGUUCGGAUUGCAGGCUGCAACUCGCCUGCAUGAAGUCGGAAUUGCUAGUAAUCGCGGAUCAGCAUGCCGCGGUGAAUACGUUCCCGGGCCUUGUACACACCGCCCGUCACACCAUGGGAGCCGGAAAUGCCCGAAGCCAGUGACCCAACCUUAGGGAGGGAGCUGUCGAAGGUGGAGCCGGUAACUGGGGUGAAGUCGUAACAAGGUAGC
rnacentral:rRNA from 1 species